rnacentral:rRNA from 1 species
GACGAACGCUGGCGGCGUGCUUAACACAUGCAAGUCGAACGGAAAGGCCCUGCUUUUGUGGGGUGCUCGAGUGGCGAACGGGUGAGUAACACGUGAUUAACCUGCCCUUGACUUUGGUAUAACUUCAGGAAACUGGGGCUACUACCGGAUAGGAGCUCCUGCUGCAUGGUGGGGGUUGGAUCGUUUCGGCGGUUGGGGAUGGACUCGCGGCUUAUCAGCUUGUUGGUGGGGUAGUGGCUUACCAAGGCUUUGACGGGUAGCCGGCCUGAGAGGGUGACCGGGCACAUGGGGACUGAGAUACGGCCCAGACUCCUACGGGAGGCAGCAGUGGGGAAUAUUGCACAAUGGGAGGAAGCCUGAUGCAGCAACGCCGCGUGCGGGAUGACGGCCUGCGGGGUGUAAAAAGCUUUCGCCUGUGACGAAGCGGGAGUGACGGUAAUGGGUAAAGAAGCACCGGCUAACUACGUG